rnacentral:tRNA from 1 species
GUGGGUAUGUUGGAAUCGGCAGACAACACAGACUUAAAAUCUGUUGGGAGCAAUCCCGUGCGGGUUCAAGUCCCGCUACCCGCACCA